rnacentral:rRNA from 1 species
AACGAACGCUGGCGGCAGGCCUAACACAUGCAAGUCGAGCGAGGACUUCGGUCCUAGCGGCGGACGGGUGAGUAACGCGUGGGAACGUGCCCUUUGCUUCGGAAUAGCCCUGGGAAACUGGGAGUAAUACCGGAUGAGCCCUUUGGGGGAAAGAUUUAUCGGCGAAGGAUCGGCCCGCGUUGGAUUAGGUAGUUGGUGGGGUAAUGGCCUACCAAGCCGACGAUCCAUAGCUGGUUUGAGAGGAUGAUCAGCCACACUGGGACUGAGACACGGCCCAGACUCCUACGGGAGGCAGCAGUGGGGAAUCUUAGACAAUGGGGGAAACCCUGAUGUAGCCAUGCCGCGUGAGCGAUGAAGGCCUUAGGGUUGUAAAGCUCUUUCAGCUGGGAAGAUAAUGACGGUACCAGCAGAAGAAGCCCCGGCUAACUCCGUG